UGCUGGACGAAGUCUGACGGAGCACGCCGCGUGAGUGAUGAAGGUUUUCGGAUCGUAAAGCUCUGUUGUUAGGGAAGAACAAGUACCGUUCGAAUAGGGCGGUACCUUGACGGUACCUAACCAGAAAGCCACGGCUAACUACGUGCCAGCAGCCGCGGUAAUACGUAGGUGGCAAGCGUUGUCCGGAAUUAUUGGGCGUAAAGGGCUCGCAGGCGGUUUCUUAAGUCUGAUGUGAAAGCCCCCGGCUCAACCGGGGAGGGUCAUUGGAAACUGGGGAACUUGAGUGCAGAAGAGGAGAGUGGAAUUCCACGUGUAGCGGUGAAAUGCGUAGAGAUGUGGAGGAACACCAGUGGCGAAGGCGACUCUCUGGUCUGUAACUGACGCUGAGGAGCGAAAGCGUGGGGAGCGAACAGGAUUAGAUACCCUGGUAGUCCACGCCGUAAACGAUGAGUGCUAAGUGUUAGGGGGUUUCCGCCCCUUAGUGCUGCAGCUAACGCAUUAAGCACUCCGCCUGGGGAGUACGGUCGCAAGACUGAAACUCAA
rnacentral:rRNA from 1 species